rnacentral:rRNA from 1 species
CCCAUGCAAGUCGAACGGCAGCGCGGGCUUCGGCCUGGCGGCGAGUGGCGAACGGGUGAGUAAUAAAUCGGAACGUGCCCAAGAGUGGGGGAUAACGUAGCGAAAGUUACGCUAAUACCGCAUACGAUCCAAGGAUGAAAGCAGGGGACCGCAAGGCCUUGUGCUCCUGGAGCGGCCGAUAUCUGAUUAGCUAGUUGGUGAGGUAAAGGCUCACCAAGGCGACGAUCAGUAGCUGGUCUGAGAGGACGACCAGCCACACUGGAACUGAGACACGGUCCAGACUCCUACGGGAGGCAGCAGUGGGGAAUUUUGGACAAUGGGGGCAACCCUGAUCCAGCAAUGCCGCGUGAGUGAAGAAGGCCUUCGGGUUGUAAAGCUCUUUUGUCAGGGAAGAAAAGGGUACGGCUAAUAUCCGUGCCUCAUGACGGUACCUGAAGAAUAAGCACCGGCUAACUACGUGCCAGCAGCCGCGGUAAUACGUAGGGUGCAAGCGUUAAUCGGAAUUACUGGGCGUAAAGCGUGCGCAGGCGGUUUUGUAAGUCUGACGUGAAAUCCCCGGGCUUAACCUGGGAAUGGCGUUGGAGACUGCAAGGCUGGAAUCUGGCAGAGGGGGGUAGAAUUCCACGUGUAGCAGUGAAAUGCGUAGAGAUGUGGAGGAACACCGAUGGCGAAGGCAGCCCCCUGGGCUAAGAUUGACGCUCAUGCACGAAAGCGUGGGGAGCAAACAGGAUUAGAUA